GCGGCGUUCGUCUAGCCUGGCCCAGGACGCCAGCUUUUCACGCUGGUAACACGGGUUCAAAUCCCGUACGCCGCACCA
rnacentral:tRNA from 1 species